GAGAAAUUGUGAGAGUAUUUUCAGCAUUGAUGACAUUGUCGUUCCUAGGUCUCUGUUUUCAUCAGUGAAAGUGGAAAGACUUAACUAUAAGAACAUUUUGACACCCAGUUGGCGAAAGGUGGAUAUUUUGCCUUUAUCGAAAAGAGAGGAGGAUGAGCAAGAGGAAGGGAUGGUUGGUUUGCUUUGUUAUAAACUCUCUGUAGGCCAUAAAAAAUGGUGAAUGUCAGCAGUUGCAGGGUGUUGUGGAGUGAUGGGCUUUAUCUUUCUCAGUCAGAAGCAAUAGAAGAUGAAGAUUUCUUACAGAGGCACCAGAGUGAUGAGCGUAGAGAGAAACUACGCUGGUCCUACUGGGAUCAGGACAGAAGACACAGGAUCAGGUCAUCCAGGAAAAUCUGCUUUUCUGUAUCUGUGAGAGAGCAUCCUGCUCACUGCCACCCACCUGUACAUUCUCCUGUUCCCUUCACCUGGACCUUCAGUACUUCUGAAGAUUCAUCAGAAGCCAGCGUGGAUGAAAAAGAGGUAAAACCUUCUUAGUAGUGAAAAAUUAAAUUAAAUAAUUAAAUGAUCAAGCUUGUAUUCAUUUGUUUCUCUCUUAUGUAGCCAACGCAACCAUGGAGGAGACGUACGUUCCCCCUGACUGGUGAAGAUGAGGAA
rnacentral:lncRNA from 1 species